rnacentral:lncRNA from 1 species
GAAGGAAUAACAAAUCAAGUCUUGAAGGAAAUGAUAGAAACAGAAAUUAACUUCGUACAAGAAACAGAACCUUUGGCAGGACCUUCAACAGAAGAACCUGGCGAUGCAGAAUAUCAAAGACCUGCACAAUGUGUGUCAGCUGAUGCUUUUGUCCUGGAAGAAGAAGGGAAGUUAUUGGGUGAGACAAUGGACAGUAAGGUAGAAAUGGAGGUGGAAACCACAAGUAGUGACGUUCUUAAACAAACCGAGCAACAUAUUAGUUCACCAGAGUGUGAAACUACUGAAGCUGAUGGACGUCGUGAUCAGAUACAGAAGGUCAUUGCUGGAGAAACAGAGUUGAGUAGUCAUGAAGACUUAAUGGAAGUCAGCAGAUCUGGGAUGAAAAGAGGAUUUGAUUCAGUGAGCAAAGACCUUCCAGAGGUGAAGACAGAAGGCAAAUUAUAUUUGUAUCUACAGGCAUUUGAGGAAUCAUCUUUGGACUUUACCGUUCAGAAGUCUCGAAUUGCUGUGAAGAAUCCCCUAGUUCGGCCUCCCAAAGACCCCAGAAGGCUCCUCUUCAAGGCCUCGGUCGAACCUCUUGUCCCACAGCCUUCACCAUGUAGUCAGAAGGUUGAAGUCUCUCUUCCAAAUAAAGGGGUAACUGGAUUUAAACUUCCAGGACUGGGUGCAGCGCUGCCAGUAUUGAGAAAAACUGAGUUUGGGAAGAAAGCAAGAGAAGGAGGAGCAGCAGAGAGAACACUGCAACCACAGCAAAAGUCAGUUGCAGUAACAGAGGAUUCUGUCAAACAAGAGCAAGUGCCAGCUAAACCCAAAUGGACACCGCCAAGGCAUCCUGGUAUGGGGAGUCCCUUCAUGAUGGCAGAACUCAAAAGCAAACUCAAAAAGCCUGUUCAGGAGUAAUAAUAUAUUUUCAGAUGCAUUCUUCACCCGUUUUUAUUUGUCUUAUUCAAGCACUAUGCAGCCUGGUAAAUAUUAUGGAAAGUUAUUCUAACUCCUCAGCUGCCGCACAACAUUUCAUUUUACUUCCACUAUUUUGUUUGCUUCUAUCUUAAGAAUCUAAACUGCGCACAGACAUUUCUCAUGCAUUUUUCUUAAGAGUUUAACUGAGUAUGUAUUUAUAUUUGAAGGGGGGGAAAGUAUAAGGGAAAUGAUUACAUACUAAAUAUCAAUAAACAUUUUUGCACUUUUUUGCAGCACUUAAACUUUGACUGUAGUUCAAACUGUCAUAUCCAGUGUUUAUCACUAGGGGGCAGCAGAGAAUCACUGCUGGACGACUGCUGUCGUUUCGCCACUAGAGGGCAGAACAGAGUCGCUGGCUGUCAUAUCACAUUUAAAACUAUUUUAUUGCUAUUUGUUAUUGUUAUAUUGUAUAUUUCUUUUUCUUUUUCUUGCCAUUUCUUUCUAUGUGUAUAAUUAUUUGGCAAUAUUGUAUGUAAACAAUCAUGGCAAUAAAGUAUUUUGAAUUGAAUAUAUCACUUCGCCACUAGGGGGCAUAACAGAGUCGCUGGUUGUCAUAUGUUUAUACGCCACUAGAGGACAGUAGUAAGCCGCUCGCUGUUACAUAUCACUCCGCCACUAGAGGGCAGAAGACGGUCGUUGGCUGUAAUAUGUCAAUGCGCCACUAGGGGCAGCAGACAGCCAUUGGCUGUAAUAUGUCAAUGCGCCACUAGGGGCAGCAGACAGCCAUUGGCUCUAAUGUGUCAAUGCGCCACUAGGGGCAGCAGACAGCCAUUGGCUCUAACUAGGGGCAGCAGACAGCCAUUGGCUGUAAUAUGUCAAUGCGCCACUAGGGGCAGCAGACAGCCAUUGGCUCUAACAUGUCAAUGCGCC